GCUUCCAUCUGGAAGAAAUCUGGAGACAGGUGCUGCAUGGCUGUCGUCAGCUCGUGUCGUGAGAUGUUGGGUUAAGUCCCGCAACGAGCGCAACCCUUGCCUUUAGUUGCCAGCAGUUCGGCUGGCACUCUAAAGGGACUGCCGGUGUUAAACCGGAGGAAGGUGGGGAUGACGUCAAGUCCUCAUGGCCUUUAUGACCAGGGCUACACACGUACUACAAUGGCCGAUACAAAGGGCAGCGACACUGCGAGGUGAAGCCAAUACCCGUAAAAUCGGUCUCAGUCCGGAUUGGAGUCUGCAACUCGACUCCAUGAAGUUGGAAUCGCUAGUAAUCGUGGAUCAGCAUGCCACGGUGAAUACGUUCCCGGGCCUU
rnacentral:rRNA from 1 species